UACGAAGGGGGCUAGCGUUGCUCGGAAUUACUGGGCGUAAAGCGUGCGUAGACGGUAGCGUAAGUCGGGUGUGAAAGCCCCGGGCUCAACCUGGGAAUUGCAUUCGAGACUGCUCUGCUAGGGUGCGGAAGAGGGGAGCGGAAUUUCCGGUGGAGCGGUGAAAUGCGUAGAGAUCGGAAAGAACACCAACGGCGAAAGCACUCUGCUGGGCCGACACUGACACUGAGAGACGAAAGCUAGGGGAGCGAAUGGG
rnacentral:rRNA from 1 species